rnacentral:rRNA from 1 species
UACGGAGGGGGUUAGCGUUGUUCGGAAUGACUGGGCGUAAAGCGCGCGUAGGCGGACCAGCAAGUCAGGGGUGAAAGCCCGGGGCUCAACCCCGGAACUGCCUUUGAUACUGUUGGUCUGGAGUUCGAGAGAGGUGGGUGGAAUUCCGAGUGUAGAGGUGAAAUUCGUAGAUAUUCGGAGGAACACCAGUGGCGAAGGCGGCCCACUGGCUCGACACUGACGCUGAGGCGCGAAAGCGCGGGGAGCAAACAGG